AUUGAACGCUGGCGGCAUGCCUUACACAUGCAAGUCGAACGGUAACAGGUUAAGCUGACGAGUGGCGAACGGGUGAGUAAUGUAUCGGAACGUGCCCAGUCGUGGGGUAUAACUGCUCGAAAGAGCAGCUAAUACCGCAUACGACCUGAGGGUGAAAGCGGGGGAUCGCAAAACCUCGCGCGAUUGGAGCGGCCGAUAUCAGAUUAGGUAGUUGGUGAGGUAAAGGCUCACCAAGCCGACGAUCUGUAGCUGGUCUGAGAGGACGACCAGCCACACUGGGACUGAGACACGGCCCAGACUCCUACGGGAGGCAGCAGUGGGGAAUUUUGGACAAUGGGCGCAAGCCUGAUCCAGCCAUGCCGCGUGCGGGAAGAAGGCCUUCGGGUUGUAAACCGCUUUUGUUAGGGAAGAAAAGGUUCUGGCUAAUACCUGGGACUCAUGACGGUACCUGAAGAAUAAGCACCGGCUAACUACGUG
rnacentral:rRNA from 1 species